ensembl:snoRNA
UUCCAAAGUGUUGAGUUCAGUUCAGGGCAGCUUCCCCUGUUCUGUUAAUUAAAUUUUGGAAUAUUGAAAUUGGCUAGGGGAGAAGACUGGGUAGAAAGUAUUCUAUUCAUUUACUUCCCAGCCUACAACA